UCCCUUAGUUUACACGCUGCCAUUGUCACCGUGUUUUGUGAAUGGGAAUCUUUCCAUACUGUUCAAUUUUGAUUUUUAAAUCCUUAGUUUAUCUUGUGAUCGGUGACCGGCUCAUGCUCGGUGUUUACAUUCCAAAGAUAUCUGCAUACAGUAACUGAAUGCGUGCAAAGCCACACAAAUGAAUUUAUUGAUUUAAAUCAUAACAGAAAACAUAAAAUAUAUGUAGUCACUUGCUUUUUCAACCCUUGUUUACUCAAAGUAAUGUUUUUGCACAGCUUCUGUUUUAAAUUCAUAAAUUCAGGCUGUAUUAUCUUCACUUUCUAACAUGAUCACGUGGUUAAAAUGGUUUCCUAUUCGUGCUACGAGGUUAAUGCCAAUGGUUGCUCACCAGUUUUACAUUUGCCAUCAGUUUCUCGGCCUACAUGGCUAGCCUGGGGUUUGCUGAUCGCCGUUGCGUUACGCUGCAUAUUUGUUCAGCUCCUUGUCUUGUUUAUUGGAGUACUCAGUCACAGCCGCGUCUCCAGCGUGUUCUGCAUCUGGGUCAUCUUCGUCAUUCGCACCGAUUCUUGACAGAUUGGACAUGGGAUGACGCUGCUCAAAUCGUCGGCCCUGCUGAGCCAGUUCCUCCACAGACGUACCUCUGCAUCAGAAAAGAUCAUGCCGUAGUGCUGAUGAGGCUGAAUAGGCUGACAGCUCAGUACCCUGACAGCUCCCACUGCAGGGAAGACUGCAUCAUUAAUAACAACCCGGUGAUAUAUGGGGAGACACAUCGAUUGGAUUUCAACCUCCUCAACCUUUUCUUUGCCUUCCUCAGUUCCCCUGUUUCUCUGCUAGGCUCCUCAAGAUGCACCACUGACUAAUCCUCUGCUCGACGAUGACAAAAUCACUCCGCACCAGUCAUUAUGGAGCAGAUGGUUCAUACCCAAAGACGGCCGCCGGCAUUUUUACAGAUAUUCGUCUUGUCGAGGAAACGAUGCUGCCACGCUGAGCGUUAAAGAAAAGCAAAGCGGUGCGAUCUGCCGCAAGCUGAACGUAAAUGUUCCCGUCAGUCAGAAUUGAGUUUGGGUCAGGGAGCUACAUUUGCAUGUUCCACCAGCAUCUAUCUUCCUGUGCUAAUUAAAUUUUCAGCACCUGUUCCUCCCUUAUGUUGCAGUAUGACUUCAUCCUCUGUAAUGAUGCAAUCUAUCGGCCCUGGCGAGCAAGCCAAGAGCAAAGGAUUCAGAGCAGGGGAGCCCACCCAUCAUUUGUCACAUUUUACAAGCUGCUGCCGGGCUGUAUGUUGAAGAACUGAGGCACAUGGUCCAAGCAGAUGCAGUGUGUUUACGUGCCGAUGUGCUGGCAGCAACACUUCGUUUGUACAGUCGCAGUCACACAGGAGGUUCCGUCUCACCAAUAUCAUGCAAAUUUGUGCAGUUUGGUUAAAUAUUUUUAUGUUUAUUAUCUUCAGAUUUUUAUUUUUUGCAUUCUUAUGUGUUUUUAUUUGUUUGACUGCCACUUGCACUAUCAGCGCAGCAUUGAAUGACAUAGAGCAGCGCAGCAUCGUCUCUAUGCUUUGCUACGAAGUACUUAUUUUUACUGACAUAAUUAUUUAGUUUUGGCCUACAAAAACAAAAACAAAAAACAAAUU